CAUAUCUAAGGGCUGACCGCUAUCCUCUCAGAGAGGCUUCUUAUGUUAACCUGCCUAUCGCUGUUCUGGGUAACAGGGACUCUCCUCUGCAUUAUUUGAACAGAGAUCUCCCGCGCAACAAGGGAGCUCCCCAGGCGGGUCUGUUGUGAUGGAUGCCACCUCCGAAGUUGUGCACAUGCGCAACACCGUCUCCCGUGAGCGCCCACGGGAGGUCACGCCUUCUCUUUCGUUCGCCAGAAAUUCUGAGAGGAUUGCAAAAGGAAAAGCAGGACCCGGGUGAUGGGGCUGUGACAAAGGAGGAAUUUCAGGAGGAGAAAACAGUGGCUCAGAGAUUCAAGCUUAAUAUCCUGCUUUUCAUAAAGUCAAAAUAGCACCAAAACAGAACUCAAAGAACACAGGACUGAACUCCAAAAAAAACCAUACAACUCUUCCCAGACCAUUACCUAUUCACACAGCAGACUUGAUAAGAAGAAAAAAAUGAGACACUAUCAAAUUUCCAUUUAUGUAGAUGAUAAGAUCAAGGUGGAAGAGAAGAAACAAUGAGAAAGUAGAGUGUUUGGAGACCAUGGAACUAUCUGGGGGUUCUCUGUUCUCCCGUAUACACUGAGGAGAUUCUAGACUGUAUUUGAACAGAGAUAGGAGAAUAAAAGAUAAACAUGGAGCCUAAAGCACUGUUCAGAUGACAUCAUAACUGUGUCUAACAAAGGGUGGAAAGUAAGUAACUCAGAAAUUUUCAAGAAAGUGAUUAAAAGAAAUUGCUGAUCUGCUGCUGUAGAUGGAUACAGAUGUCUGUUCCCAGAAGAAGCAGACCCAUCUGUGUACACUGCAGCUUCAUUGCUCUGGGACAGCUUCCUGCUGAAUGCAACACAGCUAAAUCUAGAGCAAAUUGAGUGUAAACUGAAAGAAACCCAAAGGUUGAUGGUGUUACCGAGAAAGGAGGCAUGGAUUACAUAAAGGUGAAACUAUUUCUGCAGCAGAGUUCUGUGAGAAAAUUACAUUUGCUGCAGUCGGGAGACAACUGUUUCCAAGUUUGCAAGCCUCAAGGUGAAUGAUUUCAAGUAAGGCCAGUAGAUUCAUGUUUCUUUGAGGGUUUUUGAAAAACCUGUUCCCAAUACAGUGUCUUUUUUCUCCUGACUGCUAUUCUAUUUGAAAGGAAAUAGAUAAAAUCAUGCUCAAUCUGUACAUAAAAACAAUUUAAAAAUAUGAAAACAGAAUUUUUUAUCUUUUUUGUUUGACUGUUUUCAACAUAUCCCUACCAAUGUGGAAUGUUUCAUUAUGACUUUAGAACAGGAAAGGACAAUUGCAUAGAAUGUAACUCUGUGGUAACAUUACUAUGCUUCUCCUUACUCAUCAACCUUCUUCAUUAUAUCCAAGUCAUCAGCCACCUUCAGUGUUUAAAAGAAAACUGGAUAAUGAAUUAUCCCUUUUCCUCCUCUCAAAAUAAUGAAAUUCUUGAAUUAAAUCAUUCAUUUAUCAUAAGCCUUGGAUAAAUUCGGUGAAGAGGAAAAUCAUUUCUACAGUUUAUAUUGAUGUAGUAGUAAUUGCACUAUUUUAAAAUAGGAUGCUAUUACCUCUUGAAAUCUAUUCCAUCAUACAAGACCAUAUUUCUGAUGUCUGGCUACUUCUGUUACCCUGUUAUAAGAGCACUACUUAUAUAUAUAAUAUGUCAAUGAAGAAAUUUGAGUUUCCUAUUUUGCUGAUCAGGUAAUAUAAUCAGGCUAGUUUUUUGUUUUUGUUUUUGUUUUUACUUUAAUUCAUUUUGCUUUACCAAACAUGAUAGUACCAAGAUGUACCUCGGUACUUAAGAGAUGUCUAUUUAAGUUCAUUUAAUAAAAGAGAUUUUGGGGGUUGUGUUUGGAUUAUGUGGUUUUUUUUUUUCAGUUUUAACAGUAAAUAUAUGGCAAUGUUAAUCACUAAUUUUACAACUUUAAAAAUCAAAGGAAUAUAUUUCUGUGUCAUAAGGGAAAGGUAUAAAUAUCAACACUUGGAUGGUAAAUAUUUAAUGUAUUUUCCAUUUAGUAUUUCAACUUUUAUAAAAGAAGAAAACAGAGAGGGAUAUCUGAGUUUAAAUUUUAUAAAAAAUAAUGAAAAUAAUUUAAGUUGAGAGUCUACUUUAAUACAUAAGUCAAAAUAUCACACACAUUAAGUCUUACCUUUUGACAUAGAAGCAGAAGUGACCCUUUUAAAAAAAGUUGACUUCGUUCCUCCUCUGAUAACAAUUUAUCAAUGGUUACAAUUCGUGUUUUGAAUACAAUGUAAAUUACUUUCUAUGGCUUAUAAGAUUCUGCAUAAUCCACAGUCUGGCCACUGAUAGUCUGACCAAAUUUUAGUCAGGCUCCUCUGAGUCAUCUUCUCUGUUAGGGAAAUUCCUUGCCCACUCCUCCACCCCUAUCCUGUCUUCCAACCUAUACUAGGUUGCUAUUUAUUUAAUUAACCGGUACCUGCAGUGUAUUUGUUGAUGAGUUGUUCUGAAUUAAUUAUCUAACAUUAAUUAAACUCAAGUGUUGAAUUUAAACUUUUCACUCGGAUAAGCAAAUUUCAAAAGAAAUAAUGAAUGGAAAUCUAUAGGAAUGGAAAACCAAAGUGUAUGCUUGAGACUUCUGGAAUUUUCUGAAUUCCAGAACCAAUA